CCGAGUUGUAAUUUGUAGAGGAUGCUUCGGGUGCGGCCGCGGUCUAAGUCCCCUGGAACGGGGCGUCGUAGAGGGUGAGAAUCCCGUCUUUGACCGGCCGGUCACGCCCGUGUGAAGCUCCUUCGACGAGUCGAGUUGUUUGGGAAUGCAGCUCUAAAUGGGUGGUAAAUUUCAUCUAAAGCUAAAUACUGGUCGGAGACCGAUAGCGCACAAGUAGAGUGAUCGAAAGAUGAAAAGCACUUUGAAAAGAGAGUUAAACAGCAUGUGAAAUUGUUGAAAGGGAAGCGCUUGCGAUCAGAGUCGUCUGCGGGGGCUCAGCGGGCAUUCUUUGCCCGUGCACUCCCCCGCGGUCGGGCCAGCGUCGGUUUUGACGGCCGGUCAAAGGCCCCCGGAAUGUGUCGCCUCUCGGGGCGUCUUAUAGCCGGGGGUGCAAUGCGGCCUGUCGGGACCGAGGAACGCGCUCCGGCACGGACGCUGGCUUAAUGGUCGUAAGCGACCCGUCUUGAAACACGGACCAAGGAGUCUAACAUCCACGCGAGUGUUCGGGUGUCAAACCCGUCCGCGCAGUGAAAGCGAACGGAGGUGGGAACCCUUAAGGGUGCACCAUCGACCGAUCCUGAAGUCUUCGGAUGGAUUUGAGUAAGA
rnacentral:rRNA from 1 species